AGCCUAGCUAUUGCGUUCUUCGUGGGACA
rnacentral:piRNA from 1 species